GGAGAAUCUAUAAUGCAGGCCUCAAGAGCAAGGUUAUUCAAGGAGUACAAAGAGGUUCAAAGAGAAAAGGUAGCAGAUCCAGAUAUUCAAUUGGUUUGUGACGAUUCUAAUAUUUUUAAAUGGACUGCCCUAAUCAAGGGACCGUCAGAGACUCCUUUUGAAGGUGGUGUCUUCCAGCUUGCCUUCUCCGUACCUGAGCAAUACCCUUUGCAACCUCCUCAAGUGCGGUUCU
rnacentral:misc_RNA from 1 species